ACCUAUGCGACUCUAACCAUUCCUGGCAGAGACGCUACAGAGCGGUAUGAAGCGCCUCGGAGCUCCGACCAAGGGCUUCACCUGCGCAGAGGAGUGAGCCCUUUGCUGACGACUCCAGAAGUCAAUGCCUCUUCCAGGGGCUGGAGAAGUGAACACUCAGAAGAGUGGAGUUAAUCCGCGAGCGCUUCCGCCUGAGGCUCUGAAUCCCACCCGAGUUUAAAUCUCAGUGGGGCCUUUACGUAUGAUAAAUACGGUCUUUUACUUUUGUCACACAAAAUUUUAGUAUUUAAAAGCUAAAUCGUGCUCCAAAUGAAUAGUAAAUUGGACCUACUUUCCAAGGGACGCGGUUCCUCAGCCCCACUCCCUGGUCGUCAAGGUUUAGGGGAGAAAAGGUUUCGAAGCAAGAAGGAAGCCCAGCCCCAACGUCCCAGGAGCCCAAGUCCCGGCGCCCCUCCUACUUCCCGCGGCUGUUUGCGACUCUCAUCCCCGUUCCCUCGCGUUUUUUCCGCCUCCUCUUCAGGAUUCUGGGCCCCAGAAACCGGGUUCUCCUGUACAGAAGGAAUAUGUGGACACGUCAAGGUUUCAGGACUCGUGAUUCUUGUAUGUCCUCUACAAGCCCACCUGGCCCUGCGGAGUCCCGUCACUCUCGGAGUCUCGAGUUCUUCCGUGAAAUCGCCUCCAUUCGCCCCAAAUUCAGCAAAAAAGAGGAAUCCGGGCUACCGAUUCCAGCAUCUCAAGUUGUUGAGACCAGGGAUCCCGGACCCACUGCCACCCGGACCCGGGCUUCUCCGCGGGCUGAAUCCAGGACCCGCGGGGGCUCCCCGCUCCGACCUGCCCAGACUCUGCUCCACCGAUAAGACGCCUUAGGACAGGACACGAUGGAACACUUUUCAUUCUCUUCGAUGGGUUUUGAAAUGUUCUUCAGCCACAAAGUGCUGUAGAAUACAACUCGUUUAGGAAGGCCUCUAAGCGAAACAGAGGAGAGGGACCUGGAAAAAGAGCUGGGCUGGCGGAGGAGGGACGCAGAAGAGCAAAGGGAAGCGGAAGCAGGGUAAGGGAAGCGGAAAACAAGGACCAAGGCCGGGAGCCCGCAGUGGGGAGUUUGCGCGGCAGUGUCCUCGCACCGGUACGGGCGGUCUCCCAGGAGCGCUGCGCCGGCGCGUUUUGAGUUAGUUAUUGAUCUACCGGAGAACUUUGUUUUACCCUGGAAGCCUGAGUUGUUUUCCUUACAUUUGUUCCUGCUGAAUCUAUUCAGUAUUGGGAUGGGUGGGGUGAGUUAAGUUGGUUUGCAAGGUGAGUGGAAGCCAAGUUUGGCACCAGUCAACAGGCUUCUCCACCACAACGUGGACUUCCCUUUUUAACUCCUCACGCAGAUCUUUCCCUCCUCUCACUCAAGAUCAUUUACCAAUUCUACUUUUUUUUUAAGUUUGUAAAUACGCUUUAGUCUCCUUUAUGUAUCCCACCAACCAUCUUCAAGAUGAUCAAUCCACCAGCCAAUUAUUCUUAAGGUGUGGUGCCAGGACAGACAUCAUCAGGGUCACCUGAGAACUUGAGAAAUGCAAAUUCUCAAGCUGCACCUCAGAUCUACUGAGUCAGAAACUCCGGAGGUGAGCCCAACAGUCAGACUUAAGCUGUCCAGGUGAUUUGGGUAAAUGCUUGGGCUCACUGCAUUAGGGCAGCUUCCUUUCCUAUCAACCAGGAGGUAUCAUGUUCUUGGAUAGGAGACACAGCGUCAUAAAGGUAGUCUCUCCUUAACUUGGUGUCUGAAUUUAACACAGUUUUCACAAAAAUAUUUUUAAAGAUUCUUUUUUUAUUCAAACUGGACAAUAUAAUUCUAAGGUUUAAAUGGGAGAAUAAGCAAUAAUAUUAAGAGAAAUUCUUUUUUUAGAAUACUAAGGAAAGAUUAACUCUGAAAUACAAAAGUGCCAUAAGUUAUAAUAACUAAAACAGUAAAAUAUCAUGUAUGAAUAGACAGCAAUCAAUGGGACAGCAUAGAGUCUGGAAAUAGACCAAAAUACAUAAUGAAAGUAAUAUAUUAGAAAGAGAGAUUCAAAUCAAUAAUUCUAAUGAACAGUUUUUCAAUAACAAGAUAGCUGGGAAAAAAUAAUGGUCAAUGAAUAUUACCCUUUACAUAAGGGUAAAUACCAAAUUGAACAAAGAUUUAAAUAGUAAUGAAAAGAAACAUACAAGUUCUUGUAGAAACAUGAAACAAUUAUUUUAUUAUCUUGGUGUGUGGGUAUGUGUGUGUGUGCGUGUGUGUGUAAAAAGCUGUUCUAACUAUGGCACAAACUCAGAAGUCCUGAGAGAAAAUAUUGAUGAAUUUGACUAUAUAAAUCAAAUGGAAUCUGCAUAAGCAAAGUUCAAAGACAAAUCACAAAUUUGGGGAAAUAUUUGCAACUCACACUGUGUCAAAAAUCCUCCAUAUUGAGUUCAUGCUUUGGUGCAUGCUUUUGGUGCACUGCCCUAAUUGUGACCUCACACUCAAAAACAGCUGAAACUCCUUGAUGAGCAACCUAACGCCUGACUCUAAUUUUCCCCUCCUCUUCCUCUUUUUCUUCCCUCUCCCUCCUCCCUCUUCUCUUCCUCUCUUUCCCCACCUUGGUUUGUUUUCCUUAGAUGCCACUCAGGACCCCAGUUAAGGCUUCAGCCCACAGGUUGUGGCUCUCACUGCUCUCCACCUGUUCAGUUGAACACGCUGCUAGUGGUCUUCCUGGGACAGACUGCUCCCCCAGAUCCUCUGCUGUAGUUCUCCCUUAGAGCACUCACCCUUCCCCUUAAUCACACUUUGUUUCAGGCGCAGAAGUGUCUGGAGAUAUGACUCAUUAAUUCCUGGUACAGAAGACAAGAACCAGACCGAGGCCCAUUGGAGGAGGAGGACGUGAUCCGAUAACCACAGAAACAGGAGGCCCCGUCCCCAGAUUUUCUUGAUGCCAGUGCAUGUUCACAGAAGCUCUGCUCCUUGGACCCUCGCUGUACAACUGCCUGCUACCCCUCCCCAGAUCGGGCUUGCAGGCUUGAGGCAUUAGCCUGCUGGGACCCGCUUUGCCGGCAAAAAAUUAAACUGUUCUUUUCUGCUUCACCCAAAACUCUGUCUUUCAGAUUUCAGUUUGGUGUUGGGGCACAGAGGCCAAGAUUCGGAAACAGUGGGACUCAUGCGUGGCCCUGCGUGCUCCUGCGGUGACCUCCUCUCUGGGACCUGUGCGUAUAAUGAACAUCUCUUCCGGGUCUCUUCCCUUCCUGUGGCCGCACCAACUUCACCACACCGUACUCAACGUCUCCUUUCUUAGACCACACACCAUAUACAAAAGGCUAAUUUCCCUAAUAUUUACAGAAUUAUAAGCCAAUGAGAAAUAAACCAACAACACAAUAAAAGCAGCAAAUAUAGAAAGAAUAGAAAACAUAAGACUCUUGUCCAUAAGAGAAAGUAUUUAACAUUAAACAUUGUUAUUAAUGAAAACAAUACAAUUUAAAACUAAGUUGAAAUAACAUUUUUCAGCUAUAAGAAAUGGUAAAUUUUUUAAAAGUUUAAUAUUUUGGAGAGUUAAUAAAUAUUGUUAAUGAGAGGUAUGCGGUAUUGUUAAAUUGAUACGAGUUCUCCAGGGUGCUUUUUGAACAAUAUCUAUAAAAAAUUUAAAUAAACUUUAUUUUAAACUUCAGCAACCCACGUAUAGAAGGUUAUCCUACAUACAAGGCAGAUGGUAUAAAGUAUCCUACAUAUAAGGUAUCAGGUUUAUUCAACAUAUAAGGUGUAAGAACAUAACUACAUAUGUGUGAAAUUAAGCAUGUGCAAAGUUAUUCAUGGAGCAUUUUUUUUUUGUUGAGCAAAAGAUUGGAAACUCUAAAUGUCCAUCAGUUUUAGGAGUGACGAAAUAAAUUAUAAUACAACCAUAUGAUUACAGAUAGUUCAGCUAGCUGUAAAAAAGAAUGAGGAAGCACUUGAGAGGAGAUUUAUAGAAUUGUUUAUAAUUCAGUAAUAAAAGCAUGGAAAAUUAAGCAAAUGGAAAAGUCAGAUAACUUAUUAUUGCCAAGGGAAAUAUAUAUAUUCAAAAAGUGAUCUCUAUUAAUAGUUUAUAUAUUAAAAAUAAUGAUAAUUGAUCUCAUCAAAAUUAUGAUAUAAGUAUAUUGAUGUAUUAGGGUUCUCCAGAGAAACAAAACCAAUAGAAGAUACACACAUAUGUAUGCAGAGAUUUAUUAUAAAGAAUUGGCGCAUGUGAUUGUGGAGGCUGGUAAACCCAGAAUCUUCAGGUUAGGCCAACAGGCUGCAGACGCAGGGAAGAAGUGAUGCUGUAACUCUAAUCUGAAAGCAGAGUCUGGAGGCAGAAUUCCCUCUUCCUCUGGGGACCUUGGUCUUUUUCUCUUAAGACCUUCAGUGCAUUGGAUGGAGCCCACCCACAUUAUGGAAGGUAAUCUGCUUUACUCCAAGUCUACUGAUUUAAUUUUUAAUGGAGAUACUGGGGAUUGAACGCAGGGCCUAGAGCAUGCAUGCCUUUACCCCUGAGCUAUUACCCACCCACCCCUACUGAUUUAAAUGUUAAUCUCAUCAAAAAUACCUUCACAGGAACAGCUAGACAGAUGUUUGACCAAAUAUCUGUGUACACAGCCUAAUCAGGUUGACACAUGAAAUAACCAUCACAAUUGAGAAAACAAAGGAAUGGAAAAUGUGUGUGUACGUGUGUUUAGUAGUAAUUGGAGGCGGAAUGUGUAAAAGACAGAUCUUUUUAAAAGUGUAAUAACCUGAGAAUUAGGAAUUAACAAUACUUGUUUACAGAGAAAGAGGUAAAUAACCAAUUGCUAAUUAAAAGAGUUCAAAAGUUGUUACUUCUAGUGAGCAGAAAUUGGGGGAGGGUUUCAGGAAACUGUUGGUUUUUAUUAUAGGGUCUGUAAGAGUGUUUGACUCUCUAACCCAUGUGCAUAUUUAAGCUAGCUAAAAAUAAAUACUACAUAAAAUA